AUUGAACGCUGGCGGCAGGCCUAACACAUGCAAGUCGAGCGGAUGAGUGGAGCUUGCUCCAUGAUUCAGCGGCGGACGGGUGAGUAAUGCCUAGGAAUCUGCCUGGUAGUGGGGGACAACGUUUCGAAAGGAACGCUAAUACCGCAUACGUCCUACGGGAGAAAGUGGGGGAUCUGCGGACCUCACGCUAUCAGAUGAGCCUAGGUCGGAUUAGGUAGUUGGUGAGGUAAAGGCUCACCAAGGCGACGAUUCGUAACUGGUCUGAGAGGAUGAUCAGUCACACUGGAACUGAGACGAGGUCCAGACUCCUACGGGAGGCAGCAGUGGGGAAUAUUGGACAAUGGGCGAAAGCCUGAUCCAGCCAUGCCGCGUGUGUGAAGAAGGUCUUCGGAUUGUAAAGCACUUUAAGUUGGGAGGAAGGGCAGUAAGUUAAUACCUUGCUGUUUUGACGUUACCAACAGAAUAAGCACCGGCUAACUUCGUGCCAGCCGCCGCCGUAAAAC
rnacentral:rRNA from 1 species